UACGAAGGGGGCUAGCGUUGUUCGGAUUUACUGGGCGUAAAGCGCACGUAGGCGGAUUGUUAAGUCGGGGGUGAAAUCCUGGAGCUCAACUUCAGGAUUGCCUUCGAUACUGGCUUUCUAGAGGCUGGAAGAGGUUAGUGGAAUUCCGAGUGUAGAGGUGAAAUUCGUAGAUAUUCGGAGGAACACCAGUGGCGAAGGCGGCUCACUGGCUCGGUACUGACGCUGAGGUGCGAAAGCGUGGGGAGCAAACAGGG
rnacentral:rRNA from 1 species